AUUGAACGCUGGCGGCAUGCCUUACACAUGCAAGUCGAACGGUAACAGGUCUUCGGAUGCUGACGAGUGGCGAACGGGUGAGUAAUACAUCGGAACGUGCCCGAGAGUGGGGGAUAACGAGGCGAAAGCUUUGCUAAUACCGCAUACGAUCUCAGGAUGAAAGCAGGGGACCGCAAGGCCUUGCGCUCACGGAGCGGCCGAUGGCAGAUUAGGUAGUUGGUGGGAUAAAAGCUUACCAAGCCGACGAUCUGUAGCUGGUCUGAGAGGACGACCAGCCACACUGGGACUGAGACACGGCCCAGACUCCUACGGGAGGCAGCAGUGGGGAAUUUUGGACAAUGGGCGCAAGCCUGAUCCAGCCAUGCCGCGUGCAGGAUGAAGGCCUUCGGGUUGUAAACUGCUUUUGUACGGAACGAAAAGACUCCUUCUAAUAAAGGGGGUCCAUGACGGUACCGUAAGAAUAAGCACCGGCUAACUCUGUGCCAGCCGCCGCUGUAAGAC
rnacentral:rRNA from 1 species